GCUCAGUGUCUGUGUUGUUCCGGGUGCGGGCGGAGACUACAAGAAUUAUUAUACAGGACGCUUUUUAAACUCAGGUUGAAAGUAUGUGCACAAACAAAGCACAAUCAAACAUAGUUAAAAAUUGGUUCCGUACUCCCUGAAUUGAUAGUGAGUUUGGAGGAUUUUGGAGAUUACAACAUUGAGAUUUAGUCGAAACAAAAUAAUUCAUAGUUUUACAGUUGCUAAUAUUUUGUUAUUUCUCGUGAGGGAGGGUUUACUAUUUUUCAACAAAGAGUAGGCCAAGGAGAAUGUUGGUCACCUAUUGUUUUACGAAUUAAGAACUCCGGAUAUGUCAAGUAUAGAGUAAUAAAAGGAGCAGGAAUAAGCUAUCCAGCUCAUAAGCUUGUUCCGCUAUUUUAUGAGAUGAUGGCUUACGUCGAUGCUCAACUCCACUUUCCUGCCUUUACCCCUGAUUAAAGAUCCAUCCCAGCCUUCAAUAUAUUUAUUAAUCCAGCCUCUGGAGUCCUCUGUGGUAAAGAGGGAAAGGCGCCACUAUCCUGUGAGAGAAGAAACUCCUCAUCAAGGUAGACAACUCCCCAACGAAUACUGUUGAAGGCUAGGGGAGAAAAUGCUGGAGCCGUUGUAUCCUCUUUUGUCACAGGAGAGAUCACAGACCAGUGGCAGCAAAGCUCCUCCAGAGAAUAGGACGGUCUCAUUGGAGGCAGCAGACUCUUCAAGAUGGCGGCGCCGACAAGGUGACAUUUGCAGCUGAAGCAGGGCUAGUGGCUCAGUGCUAGCCUGGCCUGGCAGUGGAGCCAGGGACUCCUGGUUGCAGGAUGAGUGAAACCUCUCAAGUAUAAUGUCCAAAAGAUACUGAACAAUUGAAUAUCAGAAAACAAGAAGGCAUUGUCUUUUGGCAGAAAUAUGUGAACACCCUCACUGGCCACAUUGUGUUGAUGGGUUGUAGCUGCACGGAAUAUACUUCACCCCAAUAUUGUUUAAAAAAUCAUUUCUAAAGUAUAAAACACCAAAUGUGAUCAAUGGCAUUAAUAACACUUGUUGAAGGAUGACUCUGAAAUAAUAUGGUGAAGAAGAUUCAUACAAAGAUCUUUUACAAUGAUAUGAUUGGAACAAGUUAUUCAGUGCUUCAGAUGGUGAUCAGAGGAAUUGCGAAGGAUUUUAACAUGAAGAAUUGUCACUAAUUUUGAUAUGUAUGUUUCUUUGAAUGAAAUUUAUAUAGUUCAUAAUGUUAUAAAAUGAAAAAU